AAGAAUCGCCCCGUUUUUUGAAAUGGGUUCUAUUCCCAAACCGUGUAUACAUACCUUUGUUGCUUUGGCAGGCCGCCUUUUAGGCGUCGGCUUCGGCUGACUGCGCCUGCCAGAGGACCCCAAACCCUAAAUUUUAAAAGUAUUGUCUGAGUACUAUAUAAUAGUUA
rnacentral:misc_RNA from 1 species